ACAAAGGCUCUUUUUAGAGCCACACACAGAUUUCAUAAAAAGAGCU
rfam:Ficedula albicollis isolate OC2 chromosome 1A, whole genome shotgun sequence.